GUGAUUUGGAGGAUGAAUGGGCCAAGGAGAGAAAAAGAAAAGUCCAAAAAGAGAAAAGGUACACCUGUCUCUGGAUACCCGGCCUAAGCUCGUUCAUCCACAUGCAGCGGAUCGAAGGAGACGGAGAUGAGAUGAGAUUAGGCUGAUCUGAGAUCUGAAUAGAGAAGAGAAGAGAAGAGAGUAAAGACAGCCCACUUCGUAUUGUUAAAGCCUGAGGCCUACAUGUUUCUCCACGCACCUGACAGCCCAGAGAAAUUGCCUCUCAUCAAAUUUUUUAUAUUAUUAGGUGAAUCACCGACCUCUCCAUUAUUCUCACUUUUAUCCGUCCUGUACGUAUGCUAUGUACUGUUUCAUAUUUGAACUAAAGUUACAACUUUUCAAAAAAAAUUACCGUUAAAUUAAAGAGUGAUGUUAGACUAGACAUACUUUUUUACAUACUAUCUGUGCAUAUAAUAAAGUGGAAAUUUGAAUGCUUUAAAAGUGGGACCAUGUGACAUAUAUUAUGGA